rnacentral:rRNA from 1 species
UGCCUGAUGGAGGGGGAUAACUACUGGAAGCGGUAGCUUAUUACCGCACAACGUCGCAAGACCAAAAAAGGGGGGACCUUCGGGCCUCUUGCCAUCGGGAUGUGCCCAGAUGGGAUUAGCUAGUAGGUGGGGUAACGGCUCACCUAGGCGACGAUCCCUAGCUGGUCUGAGAGGAUGACCAGCCACACUGGAACUGAGACACGGGUCCAGACUCCUACGGGAGGCAGCAGUGGGGAAUAUUGCACAAUGGGCGCAAGCCUGAUGCAGCCAUGCCGCGUGUAUGAAGAAGGCCUUCGGGUUGUAAAGUACUUUCAGCGGGGAGGAAGGGAGUAAAGUUAAUACCUUUGCUCAUUGACGUUACCCGCAGAAGAAGCACCGGCUAACUCCGUGCCAGCAGCCGCGGUAACACGGAGGGUGCAAGCGUUAAUCGGAAUUACUGGGCGUAAAGCGCACGCAGGCGGUUUGUUAAGUCAGAUGUGAAAUCCCCGGGCUCAACCUGGGAACUGCAUCUGAUACUGGCAAGCUUGAGUCUCGUAGAGGGGGGUAGAAUUCCAGGUGUAGCGGUGAAAUGCGUAGAGAUCUGGAGGAAUACCGGUGGCGAAGGCGGCCCCCUGGACGAAGACUGACGCUCAGGUGCGAAAGCGUGGGGAGCAAACAGGAUUAGAUACCCUGGUAGUCCACGCCGUAAACGAUGUCGACUUGGAGGUUGUGCCCUUGAGGCGUGGCUUCCGGAGCUAACGCGUUAAGUCGACCGCCUGGGGAGUACGGCCGCAAGGUUAAAACUCAAAUGAAUUGACGGGGGCCCGCACAAGCGGUGGAGCAUGUGGUUUAAUUCGAUGCAACGCGAAGAACCUUACCUGGUCUUGACAUCCACGGAAGUUUUCAGAGAUGAGAAUGUGCCUUCGGGAACCGUGAGACAGGUGCUGCAUGGCUGUCGUCAGCUCGUGUUGUGAAAUGUUGGGUUAAGUCCCGCAACGAGCGCAACCCUUAUC